rnacentral:rRNA from 1 species
UCCUUAGUAACGGCGAGCGAAGUGGGAACCAGCCCAGGUCUGAAAUCUCCCGGUUGGCUAUUGUCCUGGCCGGGCGAAUUGUGGUCUGGAGAGGCAGACUGUCCCGAUCCACCGCGUGCGAGCCCGAAGUUGACUUGGAACGGCACGCCAAAGAGGGUGAGAGCCCCGUAGGGCAUCUAAAUUGUGUGCGGCGGGACGAGGGUCUGUUCUCGUAGAGUCGGGUUGUUUGGGAAUGCAGCCCAAAGUGGGUGGUAGACUCCAUCCAAGGCUAAAUACGGGCGCGAGACCGAUAGCUGACAAGUACCGUGAGGGAAAGGUGAAAAGCACUUUGAAGAGAGAGUUCAAUAGACCGUGAAACCGUUGGGAGGGAAGCUCAGGGUGUCGAGGUUGUCAUGCUUUGUUGCUGGGUUCAUCUGGUGGCCUGCUGCCAGUGCAUUCUCAGCCAAAGUUGGACCGUCAGUCAGGAAGAGUCUGUGACCUGCUUAUCGAUGUUGGGGAGGUAGGCCUUGUGGUUCCUUCGGGUUCCCGGGGUCACGUAUAGCCCUUCAUCGUGGUCCCAGUCAUCUUUCAGGUGCGUUGGAUGACUAAUCGUCCAUAAUUGGAAGGUGCAGUUUCCCCUUGUGGGAGAUCGGGCCUUCACUGCGGUUGCUU